rnacentral:rRNA from 1 species
CCUACGGGUGGCAGCAGUGAGGCAUAUUGGUCAAUGGACGAGAGUCUGAACCAGCCAAGUAGCGUGAAGGAUGACUGCCCUCUGGGUUGUAAACUUCUUUUAUAUGGGAAUAAAACGUUCCACGUGUGGGAUUUUGUAUGUACCAUAUGAAUAAGGCUCGGCUAACUCCGUGCCAGCAGUCGCGGUAAUUCAGCGGAUUCGAGCGUUAUCCGGAUUUAUUGGGUUUAAAGGGAGCGUAGGUGGAUUGUUAAGUCAGUUGUGAAAGUUUGCGGCUCAACCGUAAAAUUGCAGUUGAAACUGGCAGUCUUGAGGACAGUAGAGGUGGGCGGAAUUCGUGGUGUAGCGGUGAAAUGCGUAGAUAUCACGAAGAACGCCGAUGGCGAAGGCAGUUCACUGGACUGCAACUGACACUGAGGCUCGAAAGUGUGGGUAUCAAACAGGAGUAGAUACCCGAUUAGUC